CAGGCCACAAUUCAAAAAAGACUUAAAUUUGUAUUGGGAAUAAAUGUUGAUGUGGUUAAACAAGGAAUGGGUUCCAGCAACAAUGGGAAUACAGCUCGACGAUUUUUUGAAAACCCUCAAAUUACAGCUGACAUAACAGGAGUAAAUGAGCAACUGAUUCAUCGGUUCAAAAUUAUAUUAUCCACAAUAACUUGCAGUCAGGCAAUAGACGCUGAGAAAUUCCAAAUAUAUUGUAUAGACACGGCAAAAUUGUACAUUGAUUUGUAUGGAUUUGAUUUUGAUUGANUGCCCAUCACAGUGCAUAAAGUUUUGAUACAUGGUAGCAAAAUUGUAUCUGAGGCCAUUCUACCUAUAGGAAUGUUAUCAGAAGAAGCGCAGGAAGCGAGGAACAAAGAUUAUAGACGUUAUAGGCUAUAUCACUCGCGCAAGACUGGGCGCUCUUCUACUAACGAAGACGUAAUGCAUCAUUUGUUGAUAUCCUCCGACCCAUACAUCAAUUCAUUUAGAACGAAAUUGAAGCUUAAAAAAUUAGAUUAUCACGAAGAUGUGAAAAA